rnacentral:rRNA from 1 species
GACGAACGCUGGCGGCGUGCUUAACACAUGCAAGUCGAGCGGAGCGGCGAACGGGUGAGUAAAGCGUGAGUAAGUGCCCCCCUCUCUGGGAUAACAGUUGGAAGAGGCUGCUAAUACAGGAAAGUGGGGGAUGACUCGGGUCCUAUGCGCUUGUUGGGGGGGUAGGGGUCUACCAAGGGGACGACGGGUAGCCGGCCUGGGGAGGCGAACGGCCACAUUGGGCUGAGCUACGGCCCAAGAGACUACGGGAGGCAGCAGUGGGGAAUAUUGCACAAUGGGGGAAACCCUGAUACAGAAACGCCGCGUGCGGAAUGCCGGCCUUCUGGUUGUAAACCGCUUUCAGAGAUGACGCGGUAUUGGCAGAAUAAGCACCGGCUAACUCCGUGCCGGCAGCCGCGGUAAUAC